CUACGGGGUGCAGCAGUGGGGAAUAUUGCGCAAUGGACGAAAGUCUGACGCAGCAACGCCGCAUGAGUGAAGAAGGCUCUUGGGUUGUAAAGCUCUGUUGAUAGGGACGAAAACUCCUUGGGUUCAUAGCCCUUGGAUCUGACGGUACCUAUCGAGGAAGCACCGGCUAGCUCCGUGCCAGCAGCCGCGGUAAUACGGAGGGUGCGAGCGUUGCUCGGAAUCACUGGGCGUAAAGGGGAUGCAGGUGGUCCUGCUCGUCUGUGGUGAAAUCCCUGGGCUUAACCCAGGACGUGCCAUCGAUACGGCAGGACUAGAGUCUCGGAGAGGGCCGUGGAAUUCCCGGUGUAGCGGUGAAAUGCGUAGAGAUCGGGAGGAACACCAGAGGCGAAGGCGGCGGCCUGGACGAGUACUGACACUGAGCUCCGAAAGCGUGGGUAGCAAACAGGAUUAGAUACCCUUGUAGUC
rnacentral:rRNA from 1 species